UACGUAGGUGGCGAGCGUUGUCCGGAUUUACUGGGCGUAAAGGGCUUGUAGGCGGUCCGUUAAGUCCGAUGUGAAAUCUCCCGGCUCAACUGGGAGAGGUCAUUGGAUACUGGCGGACUAGAGGGGGGUAGAGGAAAGCAGAAUUCCUGGUGUAGCGGUGAAAUGCGUAGAUAUCAGGAGGAAUACCAGUGGCGAAGGCGGCUUUCUGGGCCUACCCUGACGCUGAGGAGCGAAAGCGUGGGGAGCAAACCGG
rnacentral:rRNA from 2 species